AACGAACACUGGCGGCAUGCCUAACACAUGCAAGUCGAACGAGACCUUCGGGUCUAGUGGCGCACGGGUGCGUAACGCGUGGGAACCUGCCCUUAGGUUCGGAAUAACUCCCCGAAAGGGGUGCUAAUACCGGAUAAUGUCUUCGGACCAAAGAUUUAUCGCCUUUGGAUGGGCCCGCGUUGGAUUAGCUAGUUGGUAGGGUAAAAGCCUACCAAGGCGACGAUCCAUAGCUGGUCUGAGAGGAUGAUCAGCCACACUGGGACUGAGACACGGCCCAGACUCCUACGGGAGGCAGCAGUGGGGAAUAUUGGACAAUGGGCGAAAGCCUGAUCCAGCAAUGCCGCGUGAGUGAUGAAGGCCUUAGGGUUGUAAAGUUCUUUUACCCGGGAUGAUAAUGACAGUACCGGGAGAAUAAGCUCCGGCUAACUCCGUG
rnacentral:rRNA from 1 species